UUAACGCUGGCGGCAUGCCUAAGACAUGCAAGUCGAACGGAACACCCCACUGAAGUCUGAAUGAAGUCUGAGAGCUUGCUCAAAGAUGGAAUGACGGUGGACGUGGAUUCUGUGUUCAGUGGCGAACGGGUGAGUAACACGUGGGUUACCUGCCUCUAAGUUGGGGACAACAGUUGGAAACGACUGCUAAUACCGAAUGUGAUAGUAAUAUUAAAGGAGCCUUUAAAGCUUCGCUUAGAGAUGGGCCUGCGGCGUAUUAGCUAGUUGGUGGGGUAAUGGCCUACCAAGGCAACGAUGCGUAGCCGGACUGAGAGGUUGAUCGGCCACACUGGGACUGAGACACGGCCCAGACUCCUACGGGAGACAGCAGUUAGGAAUAUUCGGCAAUGGGGGAAACCCUGACCGAGCAAUGCCGCGUGUGAGAUGAAGGUCCUUCGGAUUGUAAAUCACUUUUAUUUGGGAAGAACUGUAAGUAGAGGAAAUGAUACUUACUUGACGGUACCUUUUGAAUAAGCCCCGGCUAACUACGUGCCAGCAGCCGCGGUAAUACGUAGGGGGCGAGCGUUAUCCGGAUUUAUUGGGCGUAAAGCGUGCGUAGGCGGUUUAUUAAGUCUAGAAUUAAAGCCCGAGGCUUAACCUCGGUUCGUUCUAGAUACUGGUUGACUAGAGUACAGUAGAGGCAAAUGGAAUUCCUAGUGUAGCGGUGGAAUGCGUAGAUAUUAGGAGGAACACCAGUGGCGAAGGCGAUUUGCUGGGCUGUAACUGACGCUGAGGUACGAAAGCGUGGGUAGCAAAUAGGAUUAGAUACCCUAGUAGUCCACGCUGUAAACGAUGAGCACUAAGUGUCGGGUUACCGGUGCUGAAGUUAACACAUUAAGUGCUCCGCCUGAGUAGUACGGUCGCAAGACUGCAACUCAAAGGAAUUGACGG
rnacentral:rRNA from 2 species